rnacentral:rRNA from 1 species
AAAGCAGGUCAUAGUGAUCCGGUGGUUCUGAAUGGAAGGGCCAUCGCUCAACGGAUAAAAGGUACUCCGGGGAUAACAGGCUGAUACCGCCCAAGAGUUCAUAUCGACGGCGGUGUUUGGCACCUCGAUGUCGGCUCAUCACAUCCUGGGGCUGAAGUAGGUCCCAAGGGUAUGGCUGUUCGCCAUUUAAAGUGGUACGCGAGCUGGGUUUAGAACGUCGUGAGACAGUUCGGUCCCUAUCUGCCGUGGGCGCUGGAGAACUGAGGGGGGCUGCUCCUAGUACGAGAGGACCGGAGUGGACGCAUCACUGGUGUUCGGGUUGUCAUGCCAAUGGCACUGCCCGGUAGCUAAAUGCGGAAGAGAUAAGUGCUGAAAGCAUCUAAGCACGAAACUUGCCCCGAGAUGAGUUCUCCCUGAGACUUAAAGUCUCCUGAAGGA